rnacentral:sRNA from 1 species
UUUUAGCCCGGAUUGAAGUGGAAAUCCUUUUGCCGGUUUUUUCAACCGGUAAAAGAUUGUAGCGCAAAGCCGGAAUAGCU